CGAAAACCCACACUUCAUCUGUACAUGGGUAGAUCAAUAUUGAUUCAACAAAUUCUUGCUGCAAGCAACAAUUGUUUUAAAAGGAUUUCUUUGUGGCUGUUCAGCAGACUUCAGUUGGCAGAUUAGAUUCCCUACAGUGGGGAAACAG